CCUCUCGCAGCUUAGUGGUAGAGCAAUGAUGCGGAAAUUCAGGAGUUCGGGUUCGAUUCCCGACGAGGGAG
rnacentral:tRNA from 1 species